AACCUAAGCGGGGACAGAAAAGAACACGUAUAUGUCCCCAGGGCUAGUUCUUUCCCUAGGUCUGGUUUUACAAAUUCUGGUAAUAACA